rnacentral:rRNA from 1 species
GAUGAACGCUGGCGGCGUGCCUAAGACAUGCAAGUCGAGUGGGUUUAGACCCACGGCGAACGGGUGAGUAAUAGAUAGGAACUUUCUUUAAGUUGAGCAUAUCCCACCGAAACGGUAGGUGCAAUUCUCAAUGUGAUCGCAAGAUUAAAGUACGCAAGACGCUUAAAGUGAGGCCUGUCUCCCACUCAGCUAGUUGGUAAGGUAAUGGCUUACCAAGGCUAUGACGGGUAGCGG